rnacentral:rRNA from 1 species
CACGUAGGGGGCAAGCGUUGUCCGGAUUUAUUGGGCGUAAAGAGCUCGUAGGCGGUUCGGUAAGUCGGGUGUGAAACCUCCAGGCUCAACCUGGAGACGCCACCUGAUACUGCUGUGACUCGAGUCCGGUAGAGGAGCGUGGAAUUCCUGGUGUAGCGGUGAAAUGCGCAGAUAUCAGGAGGAACACCAGCGGCGAAGGCGGCGCUCUGGGCCUUACCUGACGCUCAGGUGCGAAAGCUAGGGGAGCGAACAGGA